UACGGGGGGGGCAAGCGUUGUUCGGAAUUACUGGGCGUAAAGGGCUCGUAGGCGGCCAACUAAGUCAGACGUGAAAUCCCUCGGCUUAACCGGGGGAACUGCGUCUGAUACUGGAUGGCUCGAGUUUGGGAGAGGGAUGCGGAAUUCCAGGUGUAGCGGUGAAAUGCGUAGAUAUCUGGAGGAACACCGGUGGCGAAGGCGGCAUCCUGGACCAACACUGACGCUGAGGAGCGAAAGCCAGGGGAGCAAACGGG
rnacentral:rRNA from 1 species